ACUCAACAGCUAGCCCUCCCAUUUACUUCAACACUCAACUAUUUAUACCCUAAAAAACACUUAAUGAAUUAACCAAACCAUUUUACCGCUUUAGUACAGGAGAUGAAAAAAGAACUAGGCGCAAUAGAAAAAGUACCGCAAGGGAACGCUGAAAAAGAAAUGAAACAACACAGUAAAGUAACAUAAAGCAGAGCUAUCUCCUCGUACCUUUUGCAUCAUGUUUUAGCCAGAGCCCCUCAAGCAAAAAGCAUUUUAGUUUGACUACCCGAAACCAGACGAGCUACUUCAAGAUAGCCUAGUAAAUAGGGCCAACCCGUCUCUGUGGCAAAAGAGUGGGAAAAGCUUCAAGUAGAGGUGAUAAACCUACCGAGCCUGGUUAUAGCUGGUUACCUGAAAAUUGAAUAGAAGUUCAGCCCCUUGAAUUCUCAAGCCCAAACUGGCUACCCUCAGCUAAGACUAAAAGAAAUCUAGGGAGUUAUUCAAAGGGGGUACAGCCCCUUUGAAACAAGACACAACUUUUACAGACGGAUAAGGAUCAAAUUUACCAAGG
rnacentral:rRNA from 1 species